UUGGGAAUGUAAUGGGCGCAGCCUGAUCAGCCUGCCGCGUGGGUGAUGAAGGCCUUCGGGUUGUAAAGCUCUUUUUGUAGGGAAGAAAAGGAUCCUGCUAGUACCGGCUUGUUCUGACCGUACCAAUAGAAUAAGCACCGGCUAACUUCGUGCCCCCCGCCGCGAUAAUA
rnacentral:rRNA from 1 species